rnacentral:rRNA from 1 species
GACGAACGCUGGCGGCGUGCUUAACACAUGCAAGUCGAACGGAAAGUCCCUGCUUUUGUGUUUUUCUCUAUUGUCGAACUGGUGAGUAACACUUGAGUAACCUUCCCUUUACUUUGUGAUAACUUCAUGAAACUGUGUCUCAUACCGUCUAGGAUCUCCUGCUUCAUGUUGGUGUUUGGAAAGUUUCGGCGGUUGGGGAUGUACUCGCGUCUUAUCAGCUUGUUGGUGGGAUAGUGGCUUACCAAGGUUUUGACGGGUAGCCGGCAUGAGAGGGUUACCGGACACAUUGGGACUGAGAUAAGGACCAGAAUAGUACGGGAGGCAGCAGUGGGGAAUAUUGCACAAUGGGCGGAAGGAUGAUGCAGAAAAGCCGCGUGCGGGAUGACGGCAUUCGGGUUGUAAACAGAUUUCGAAUGUGACGAAGAGUGAGUGACGGUAAUGGGUAAAGAAGCAACGGCUAACUACGUG